GACGAACGCUGGCGGCGUGCUUAACACAUGCCAGUCGAACGGAAAGGCCCUGCUUUUGUGGGGUGCUCGAGUGGCGAACGGGUGAGUAACACGUGAGUAACCUGCCCUUGACUUUGGGAUAACUUCAGGAAACUGGGGCUAAUACCGGAUAGGAGCUCCUGCUGCAUGGUGGGGGUUGGAAAGUUUCGGCGGUUGGGGAUGGACUCGCGGCUUAUCAGCUUGUUGGUGGGGUAGUGGCUUACCACGGCUUUGACGGGUAGCCGGCCUGAGAGGGUGACCGGCCACAUUGGGAGUGAGAUACGGCCCAGACUCCUACGGGAGGCAGCAGUGGGGAAUAUUGCACAAUGGGCGGAAGCCGGAUGCAGCAACGCCGCGUGCGGGAUGACGGCCUUCGGGUUGGAAACCGCUUUCGCCUGUGACGAAGCGUGAGUGACGGUAAUGGGUAAAGAAGCACGGGCUAACUACGUG
rnacentral:rRNA from 1 species